rnacentral:rRNA from 1 species
AAUCAACGCCGGCGGCGUGCCUAACACAUGCAAGUCGAACGCGAAAAUCCCGCAAGGGACCAGUAGAGCGGCAAACGGGUGAGUAACGCGUGGGCGACCUACCUCUGAGUGGGGGAUAACCUUCCGAAAGGAGGGCUAAUACCGCAUGACAUCCCGUGGUUGGAUACACGGACAUCAAAAGCCGGGGAUCGCAAGACCUGGCGCUUGGAGAGGGGCCCGCGUCCGAUUAGCUAGUUGGUGAGGAAUGGCUCACCAAGGCUCCGAUCGGUAUCCGGCCUGAGAGGGGCGG